GAUUGACCUCGGAUCAGGUAGGGAUACCCGCUGAACUUAAGCAUAUCAAUAAGCGGAGGAAAAGAAACCAACAGGGAUUGCCUCAGUAACGGCGAGUGAAGCGGCAACAGCUCAAAUUUGAAAUCUGGUCCUUUCAGGCCCCGAGUUGUAAUUUGUAGAGGAUGUUUCGGGCGCGGCGCGGGUCUAAGUCCUUUGGAACAGGGCGUCAGAGAGGGUGAGAAUCCCGUAUGCGACCCGUGGCCAACCCCAUCUGAAACCCCUUCGACGAGUCGAGUUGUUUGGGAAUGCAGCUCAAAAUGGGUGGUAAAUUUCAUCUAAAGCUAAAUACCGGCCAGAGACCGAUAGCGCACAAGUAGAGUGAUCGAAAGAUGAAAAGCACUUUGGAAAGAGAGUCAAACAGUACGUGAAAUUGUUGAAAGGGAAGCGCUUGCGACCAGACCUGCCCGCGGGCGAUCAACCCCCGUUCUCGGGGGUGCACUCGCCCGCGAUCAGGCCAGCAUCGGUUCGGGCGGUCGGAUAAAGGCCUUGGGAAUGUAGCUUCCUCCGGGGAGUCUUAUAGCCCUCGGUGCAAUGCGGCCAGCCCGGACCGAGGACCGCGCUUCGGCUAGGAUGCUGGCGUAAUGGUCGUAAGCGACCCGUCUUGAAACACGGACCAAGGAGUCUAACAUCUAUGCAAGUGUUUGGGUGUGAAACCCAUGCGCGGAAUGAAAGUGAACGGAGGUGAGAACCCUCAAGGGCGCAUCAUCGACCGAUCCAGAUGUCUUCGGAUGGAUUUGAGUACGAGCAUAGCUGUUGGGACCCGAAAGAUGGUGAACUAUGCCUGAAUAGGGUGAAGCCAGAGGAAACUCUGGUGGAGGCUCGCAGCGGUUCUGACGUGCAAAUCGAUCGUCAAAUUUGGGUAUAGGGGCGAAAGACUAAUCGAACC
rnacentral:rRNA from 1 species